GACGAACUGUGCAAACGUUAUUCGGAAUCACUGGGCUUGAAGAGUGCGUAGGCGGUUUCGUAAGUAGGGUGUGAAAGCCCCCGGCUCAACCGGGGAAUUGCGCCCUAAACUGCGAGGCUGGAGUGAGGUAGGGGCGUGUGGAACUUCCAGUGGAGCGGUGAAAUGUGUUGAUAUUGGAAGGAACGCCGGUGGCGAAGGCGACACACUGGACCUUGUCUGACGCUGAGGCACGAAAGCCAGGGGAGCAAACGGG
rnacentral:rRNA from 1 species